rfam:Trichobilharzia regenti genome assembly, scaffold: TRE_scaffold0066427
GUCGGUGACCAUACCACGGUGAAAGCACCGGUUCUCGUCCGAUUACCGAAGUUAAGCAACGUUGGACCCGGUUAGUACUUGCAUGGGUGACCGGUUGGGAAUACCGGGUGUUGCCGGCU